UACAACAUAGCGUUAAUGCACCGGAUCCCAUUAGAACUCUGCAGUUAAUCAUGCUCAUAAUAGAAUAGUACUAGGAUGGAUGCAACCCAGGAAGUCCUAGUAUUUUAC
rnacentral:rRNA from 1 species